CAAAUUCCUGAAGACAAUCACUUCAAGUUCUGUAAUGAAAGGGAGAACUUACCAGUAUCUCCAAUCUGGCUCUCGGAUCCUACCAACUCUAACCAGCACAUGCUACCAUCUCUUGAUCCUUCCUCUGCGGUGAGUGAUGAUAUGAUUAGAAACCAAUAUGUUAUUGAACAUGUCAAUAGCAAUCUCACCUCUUCAAGUCAAGAGUCAGGAGCUUCAGCUUCAGCUGCAUGGCCUGAUCAUCUAUUGGAUGAUUCCAUAUUUUCCGAUAUGAUUCCCUAGCCUUUUCUGGUAUGUUUU
rnacentral:lncRNA from 1 species